GACGAACGCUGGCGGCGUGCCUAAUACAUGCAAGUCGAACGCUGAAGGAAGGAGCUUGCUCUUUCCGGAUGAGUUGCGAACGGGUGAGUAACGCGUAGGUAACCUGCCUGGUAGCGGGGGAUAACUAUUGGAAACGAUAGCUAAUACCGCAUAACAGUAGAUGUUGCAUGAUAUCUACUUAAAAGGUGCAAUUGCACCACUACCAGAUGGACCUGCGUUGUAUUAGCUAGUUGGUGAGGUAACGGCUCACCAAGGCGACGAUACAUAGCCGACCUGAGAGGGUGAUCGGCCACACUGGGACUGAGACACGGCCCAGACUCCUACGGGAGGCAGCAGUAGGGAAUCUUCGGCAAUGGACGGAAGUCUGACCGAGCAACGCCGCGUGAGUGAAGAAGGUUUUCGGAUCGUAAAGCUCUGUUGUAAGAGAAGAACGAGUGUGAGAGUGGAAAGUUCACACUGUGACGGUAGCUUACCAGAAAGGGACGGCUAACUACGUG
rnacentral:rRNA from 1 species